UACGAAGGGGGCUAGCGUUGCUCGGAAUUACUGGGCGUAAAGGGCGCGUAGGCGGCACUGUUAGUCAGGCGUGAAAGUCCUGGGCUCAACCUGGGAACUGCGCUUGAUACGGCAGAGCUAGAGGAUGGAAGAGGCUCGCGGAAUUCCCAGUGUAGAGGUGAAAUGCGUAGAUAUCAGGAGGAACACCUGCGGUGUAGACGGCUUACUGGACCAUAACUGACGCUGAGGCACGAAAGCGUGGGUAGCAAACAGG
rnacentral:rRNA from 1 species